UUAAGCGACUAAGCGUACACGGUGGAUGCCCUGGCAGUCAGAGGCGAUGAAGGACGUGCUAAUCUGCGAAAAGCGACGGCGAGGUGAUAUGAACCCUUGACCCGUCGAUGUCCGAAUGGGGAAACCCAGUGCAAUCCGUUGCACUAUCGUUAACUGAAUACAUAGGUUAACGAGGCGAACCGGGGGAACUGAAACAUCUAAGUACCCCGAGGAAAAGAAAUCAACCGAGAUUCCCCCAGUAGCGGCGAGCGAACGGGGAGCAGCCCGGAGUCUGAAUCAGCUUGUGUGUUAGUGGAACGGUCUGGAAAGUCCGACGGUACAGGGUGAUAGUCCCGUACACGAAAGCACACAUGCUGUGAACUCGAAGAGUAGGGCGGGACACGUGGUAUCCUGUCUGAAUAUGGGGGGGACCAUCCUCCAAGGCUAAAUACUCCUGACUGACCGAUAGUGAACCAGUACCGUGAGGGAAAGGCGAAAAGAACCCCGGCGAGGGGAGUGAAAAAGAACCUGAAACCGUGUACGUACAAGCAGUGGGAGCCUCUUUAUGGGGUGACUGCGUACCUUUUGUAUAAUGGGUCAGCGACUUAUAUUCUGUAGCAAGGUUAACCGUAUAGGGGAGCCGAAGGGAAACCGAGUCUUAACUGGGCGUUAAGUUGCAGGGUAUAGACCCGAAACCCGGUGAUCUAGCCAUGGGCAGGUUGAAGGUUGGGUAACACUAACUGGAGGACCGAACCGACUAAUGUUGAAAAAUUAGCGGAUGACCUGUGGCUGGGGGUGAAAGGCCAAUCAAACCGGGAGAUAGCUGGUUCUCCCCGAAAGCUAUUUAGGUAGCGCCUCGUGAACUCAUCUUCGGGGGUAGAGCACUGUUUCGGCUAGGGGGCCAUCCCGGCUUACCAACCCGAUGCAAACUACGAAUACCGAAGAAUGUUAUCACGGGAGACACACGGCGGGUGCUAACGUCCGUCGUGAAGAGGGAAACAACCCAGACCGCCAGCUAAGGUCCCAAAGUCAUGGUUAAGUGGGAAACGAUGUGGGAAGGCACAGACAGCCAGGAUGUUGGCUUAGAAGCAGCCAUCAUUUAAAGAAAGCGUAAUAGCUCACUGGUCGAGUCGGCCUGCGCGGAAGAUGUAACGGGGCUAAACCAUGCACCGAAGCUGCGGCAGCGACACUAUGUGUUGUUGGGUAGGGGAGCGUUCUGUAAGCCGUUGAAGGUGUGCUGUGAGGCAUGCUGGAGGUAUCAGAAGUGCGAAUGCUGACAUAAGUAACGAUAAAGCGGGUGAAAAGCCCGCUCGCCGGAAGACCAAGGGUUCCUGUCCAACGUUAAUCGGGGCAGGGUGAGUCGACCCCUAAGGCGAGGCCGAAAGGCGUAGUCGAUGGGAAACAGGUUAAUAUUCCUGUACUUGGUGUUACUGCGAAGGGGGGACGGAGAAGGCUAUGUUAGCCGGGCGACGGUUGUCCCGGUUUAAGCAUGUAGGCGGAGGUUCCAGGUAAAUCCGGUACCUUUUAACGCUGAGGUGUGAUGACGAGGCACUACGGUGCUGAAGUAACAAAUGCCCUGCUUCCAGGAAAAGCCUCUAAGCAUCAGGUAACACGAAAUCGUACCCCAAACCGACACAGGUGGUCAGGUAGAGAAUACCAAGGCGCUUGAGAGAACUCGGGUGAAGGAACUAGGCAAAAUGGUGCCGUAACUUCGGGAGAAGGCACGCUGAUAUGUAGGUGAAGUCCCUGCGGAUGGAGCUGAAAUCAGUCGAAGAUACCAGCUGGCUGCAACUGUUUAUUAAAAACACAGCACUGUGCAAACACGAAAGUGGACGUAUACGGUGUGACGCCUGCCCGGUGCCGGAAGGUUAAUUGAUGGGGUUAGCGGCAACGCGAAGCUCUUGAUCGAAGCCCCGGUAAACGGCGGCCGUAACUAUAACGGUCCUAAGGUAGCGAAAUUCCUUGUCGGGUAAGUUCCGACCUGCACGAAUGGCGUAAUGAUGGCCAGGCUGUCUCCACCCGAGACUCAGUGAAAUUGAACUCGCUGUGAAGAUGCAGUGUACCCGCGGCAAGACGGAAAGACCCCGUGAACCUUUACUAUAGCUUGACACUGAACACUGGUCCUUGAUGUGUAGGAUAGGUGGGAGGCUUUGAAGCGUGGACGCCAGUCUGCGUGGAGCCGUCCUUGAAAUACCACCCUUUAAUGGCUGGUGUUCUAACGUGGACCCGUAAUCCGGGUUGCGGACAGUGUCUGGUGGGUAGUUUGACUGGGGCGGUCUCCUCCCAAAGAGUAACGGAGGAGCACGAAGGUUAGCUAAUCCUGGUCGGACAUCAGGAGGUUAGUGCAAUGGCAUAAGCUAGCUUGACUGCGAGAGUGACGGCUCGAGCAGGUGCGAAAGCAGGUCAUAGUGAUCCGGUGGUUCUGAAUGGAAGGGCCAUCGCUCAACGGAUAAAAGGUACUCCGGGGAUAACAGGCUGAUACCGCCCAAGAGUUCAUAUCGACGGCGGUGUUUGGCACCUCGAUGUCGGCUCAUCACAUCCUGGGGCUGAAGUAGGUCCCAAGGGUAUGGCUGUUCGCCAUUUAAAGUGGUACGCGAGCUGGGUUUAGAACGUCGUGAGACAGUUCGGUCCCUAUCUGCCGUGGGCGCUGGAGAAUUGAGGGGGGCUGCUCCUAGUACGAGAGGACCGGAGUGGACGCAUCACUGGUGUUCGGGUUGUCAUGCCAAUGGCACUGCCCGGUAGCUAAAUGCGGAAGAGAUAAGUGCUGAAAGCAUCUAAGCACGAAACUUGCCCCGAGAUGAGUUCUCCCUGAGACUUUAAGUCUCCUGAAGGAACGUUGAAGACGACGACGUUGAUAGGUCGGGUGUGUAAGCGCAGCGAUGCGUUGAGCUAACCGAUACUAAUGAACCGUGAGGCUUAACCUU
rnacentral:rRNA from 1 species